UUACGUGUCAACAUUUUACAUUGUCAACAUUCACAAUUUACUCCUAAAAAAAAGUUCACAAAAGUUAGGAGUGUGCCAACUUAUAAUAUACCAUAUGCUUUAAAUUUUCCAUUAAACUUUACUUCAAAAAUAUUUUGUUUAAUACUAUACAUAGUUUGUGUGUCGUAUCUUAAUCUAUAAUCCAUAAAAUCGAACAUUAGAUUUGUGUUCAUUUUAAAUCCUCUUAAUACAUCUCUUCCACUUAGUUAAAGUUAGAAAACACCAAGAUUAGCCAACCCACACUUCGUGGCUCGAGCUUUCUGCUUAGGAAUCAAGAGACAGGUACAAUAAAAUGAGGUUCUCAAAGCCAAAAUUGUUUCUCUUUGUGCUUUUCAUCUUCAUUGUGACUUGUGUUGUUCAAAGGGAAGCAGCAGCAGUAACCAAAGAAAGAGUUGUGAGUGGUGGUUCUGGAAGUAGUUCUGUCAAUGUUGUUAGACGAGGUGAGUGUGAAAAACAUGGCGUUGAGUGCAAGAAAGUAAAUGGUGGGAAUGAAGACUACACUGACUUGGAAGAUGAAGACUACAUCUACACCAACUCUGUGUUACCUUAGCUGACACACAUUGCUUUAUUGUAUUAUGAAGUAAUUAUUCCUUACUAUAUAUUAU